UACGGAAGGCAGCAGGGGGAAUAUUGCACAAUGGGCGAAAGCCUGAUGCAGCUAUGCCGCGUGUAUGAAGAAGGCCUUAGGGUUUGUAAAGUGCUUUUCAUCGGGGAGGAAAAACAAAACUAAUAAUUUUAUUUCUUGACGUUACCCGAAAAAGAAGCACCGGCUAACUCCGUGCCAGCAGCCGCGGUAAUACGGAGGGUGCUAGCGUUAAUCAGAAUUACUGGGCGUAAAGAGCACGUAGGUGGUUUUUUUAAGUCAGAUGUGAAAUCCCUGGGCUUAACCUAGGAACUGCAUUUUGAAACUGAAAUACUAGAGUAUCGUAGAGGGAGGUAGAAUUCUAGGUGUAGCGGUGAAAUGCGUAGAUAUCUGGAGGAAUACCUGUGGCGAAAGCGGCCUCCUAAACGAAUACUGACACUGAGGGUGCGAAAGCGUGGGGAGCAAACAGGGAUUAGAUACC
rnacentral:rRNA from 1 species